CCUACGGGAGGCAGCAGUGAGGAAUAUUGGUCAAUGGGAGAGAUCCUGAACCAGCCAAGUCGCGUGAGGGAAGACGGCCCUAUGGGUUGUAAACCUCUUUUAUCGGAGAACAAAACCCCUGACGUGUCCCGCUCUGCGUGUAUCCGAUGAAAAAGCAUCGGCUAACUCCGUGCCAGCAGCCGCGGUAAUACGGAGGAUGCGAGCGUUAUCCGGAUUUAUUGGGUUUAAGGGGUGCGUAGGCGGCCUUUUAAGUCAGCGGUGAAAGUCUGGGGCUCAACCCUGGCCUUGCAGCUGAAACUGGGGUGCUUGAGUAUGUUGGAGGCAGGCGGAAUGCGUGGUGUAGCGGUGAAAUGCUUAGAUAUGACGCAGAACCCCGAUUGCGAAGGCAGCCUGCCGAGCCAGGACUGACGCUGAUGCACGAAAGCGUGGGGAUCAAACAGGAUUAGAUACCCCUGUAGUC
rnacentral:rRNA from 1 species